rnacentral:rRNA from 1 species
AUGGUGGUGUGGGAUGCGGUUGCCUGGCCUACAUAUUUCAGAGGUCUAGAGGUGAAGAACUUGCAGCUCCAAGCAUUGGCUCUCCGCGUCAGAUGUGAGUGGCUUCAGAGGGCAGAUCCCAGCAGGCCGUGGCAAGGAAUCCCGAUGAUUGCGGAUAAAUCGGCAAAGAUGGUCUUUAACAACAUGGUGAAGAUCAAGGUUGGCACCGGAGAGAGGGUGCUUUUCUGGAAGGAUAGAUGGAUCCAUGGAUUCACUGUGGGUGAGAUCCCUCCGACCAUCAUGGAGUUUGUCAAGACGCGCGCGCGCAACACUAGGACAGUUCAGCAAGCCCUCAUCGACAACGCGUGGUCACAUGACAUGCAUGGGGACAUCUCCUUUGUGGCUCACAUACAAGUGCCAACAUCUGUUACGCGAUUGCCAUGGUGGAUCGAAACAUGGAUCAAUAGAAUCAAUUUCACUGGUCUGCAAGGGAGCUACACAGCGAAAUCAGUCUAUGCACGGCUUUGUCUGGGUUUUGAUCAGAUCGCCGAUGGACGCGUGCAUUUGGACGAGCUGGGCGCCACUGCGGUGCAAAUUUUUUGCUUGGUUCAGCGUUCAAUACAUACCAUGGACCUUAGACAAGCGUGCGAGGCACGGGCUGCAAGAUUAACCAUCGCACUGCUACACUUGCUUGCAAGAAGAAGAUAA